rnacentral:tRNA from 1 species
CAGAGUAUGGAUAAGAAAAGCAUCUCCCUUACACCGAGAAGUUAUCCGUGCAAGUCGGAUUACCUUGA